CCUCUGUGUCCACGUGAAGGGAAACCAAUUACAGCAUUUCCAUAACCCAGUUGUCUCCACACCUAACAAGGUAUGCACCUGCCAAGUUUCAUCUACAUUGGUCAAUUACUGUAUCACUUAUAAUUAUUACUUCAGGGCCUCCUCCAAGUAAAUGACACUGCACCAGAAUAAUGUGCCAAUAUUCUGUAUUUUUCUAUAAAUAAAUAUGGGAAAGAUCCUCGA